AUUAGUCUUGGGUUCUUGCCUGGAGCUAGUUUCAAGUACUGGUCUGCUGGGGCCUUCAGGAGGGCACUAAGCUGGUCCAGUGGAUCACAGGAGCUCACCCCCAAGUCUUCCAGGAUAUUACAUACAUAAUCUGUCGAAGGAGAAAUACAACACUUGCCUGGAUGUGGAGGUAGUGUUGGCCUCUUGCAGUGCACGGUUAAGGGCUGGACUGUGGUUAACCAGGAGAGGUUCAAGAUGCUGUGGCAAGGUCAUGAGGUACUGCCCAAUCUGACAACAAAAGAGUGUGAUUAUUGCUGUUUGCUGUCUGACAAAUUAAUUUCCCAGGCCAUUUAACUGUAACAGCAUGACUAACAACUAUUGACUAAGGAUGAAACACAAUAAAAAUUAGAUGUGAAAGUAACUGAGCUUCUUGAUAUUCCUGGUGUUUAGUGAUCUGGUCCUGGAGAGGACGAUACACAGCCUGUGUCACCAUCCUCUGUGCCUGCAACAGCCACUACCUGAUCCACCGGGGGGUCCAAGGAAGCUAAACUGGCUGCCACCAAUUGUGCCAACAAGAGACUUGAGUCAGAUCCCUCAAAGACCUGCCCACACCAACGCACCUGUCAACAUAACAUCCCAGUUAAUAA